CUUGUAAAGCAGACCAGAGAAAUUCCACACCACGGAGGAGGCAGAGGGGCAAGACCACAGGCAGGGGCUCUCCAGCCUUGAUGGCAAAGCCAAAGCUCUGAAGGAGAGGACAGAGGGCAGGGAGGGAACAGGCAGGAGGAGCAGAUGAACAGGAACCUGGUGACAGGACCAGGCAGGGCUCUUUGCUUCCUCAUAUCCCUCUCUUGGGGAGUACUCUCUCUCUCUCUCAAGAGGAAGAAGGAACGAUUCUCCCUGGCACGAAAGCAAAGGACACAAAGUGAAAGCCUAAUGGUUGUACACCUGGUGAAGAGAUGAGGGUGCCCUCUCAUCUGCCCCUCAGUGUCUCUGAUUCGCAACUGCCUUCGGCCGGAGGUGAAGGGCUGGGGAAAAAAUCCCACACCUCAGAGUCAUCUCAAAGCCACCAGGGUGCUGACAACGGCCAGCUGAGACCGCAGGACGCAGGAAAGACCCUCAGGCGAGCAGCACCUGCAGAUGCCCUCCCCUGGCGAGUCUGCACCUCAGGCAGCAGCAGUUCCCGACUCAGCUGGAACUAACUCCUUCCCCGCGCCACCGCUGUCUCCAAGAGAAAUUCUGCCCCUAGGGCUGGCGUCUGACCUCCAGAGACAUCUGGCGCUGAAACGCUUUCAUGCGCUGGGAACAGCCUUCGCCCCAGGUGCCCCUCGCCUGGCACCUUCCUAGCCACCUGCAUCUGGCACCUCAGGGUAGGGGUCGGCUCUUAAUCAGUACCCCACCCCGCCCCAAUCUCCCCUCCUCCCGUCUCCCACUCGGCACCGGUGCCCUGGAGAGGGGCAUCUCACACCGCCUCGAUGCCUGCCCCUCAAAGGUACCCCUGAAGGCUCGCUUUCCUCUCGGGUGCCCUGGCCCGCACCGGGUCCACUCAC
rnacentral:lncRNA from 1 species